ensembl:lncRNA
CUUGAUAAGUCUGGCUAGGGGCUUAUCAAUUUUGUUGAUCUUUUCAAAGAACCAGCUUUUCGUUUCAUUGAUCUUUUCUACGGUUUUUCCUUGUUUCUAUUUCACUGAUUUCUGCUCUGAUCUUUAUGAUUUAUUUCCUUCUACUAACUUUAGGAUUUGUCUGUUCUUCUCUCUCGAGCUGCUUUAGAUGUAAAGUUAGCUUGUUUCUUUGAGCUUUUUCUUGUUUCCUGAGGUGGGCUUGUAUUGCUAUAAACGUUCCUCUUAGAACAGCUUUUGCUGCAUCCCAUAGGUUUUGGAGUGUUGUAUCUUCAUUGUCAUUUGCUGCCAGGUAUUUUUUAAUUUCCUCUUUGAUUUCUUCAGUGAUCCAUUGGUUGUUUAGUAGCAUUUUUGUUGAGUCUCCACCUGUUUGUGUUUUUUGCAGUUUUUUUCUUGUUGAUUUCCAGUCAUGUAGCAUUGUGGUUGGAAAAUAUGCUUGAUAUGAUUUCAAUUUUCUUAAAGUUACUGAGGUUGGAUUUGUAGCCCAGGAUAUGAUCAGUCUUAGAGAAUGUUUCAUGUGCACUUGAGAAGAAUGGGUAUUCUGUUGUUUUUGGAUGAAAUGUCCUAUAAAUAUCUAUUAAGUCCAUCUUGUUUAAUGCUUCAUUCAGGGCCUGUGUUUCCUCAUUGAUUUUCUGUCUGGAUGAUGUGUCCAUUGCUGUAAGUGGGGUGUUAAAGUUCCCUACUAUGAUUGUGUCAUCGUCAAUUUCUCCUUAAGGUUGUUAGCAGUUGCCUUAUAUAUUGUGGUGAACCUGUUUUGGGUGCAUAGAUAUUGAAAAUUGUUAUAACAUCUUCUUGGAUUGAUCCUUUGAUCAUUAUGUAAUGUCCUUCUUUGUCCCUGAAAAUAUUCUUCAUUUUAAAGUCUAUUUUGUCUGAUAUGAGUAUUGCUACUCCAGCUUUCUUUUGAUCCCCAUUUGCAUGAAAUAUUUUCUUCCAUCCUCUCACUUUCAAUUUGUAUGUGUCCCUAGAAACGAAGUGGGUCUCUUGAAGACAGCAUAUAUAUGGUUCUUCUUUUUGUAUCCAUUCAGCAAGUCUAUGUCUUUUGGCUGGGGUGUUUAGUCCAUUAACAUUUAAGGUAAUUAUUGAUAUGUAUGUUCUUAUUGCCAGUUUAUUAAUUACUUUGGAUUUAUUUUUGCUGCUCUUUUUUCUUUCCUUCUUCUCUUGUUCUUUUCUGCCUAUAGAAGUUCCUUUAGUAUUUGUUGUUGGUUUAGUGUUGCUGAAUUCUCUCAGCUUUGCUUGUGUGAAGGUUUUGAUUUCUCCUUCAAAUCUGAAUGAGAGACGUGCUGGGUAGAAUAAUCUUCUUUGGAGGUUUUUUCCUUUCAUCACAUUAAGUAUAUCAUGCCACUCCCUUCUGGCCUGCACAGUUUCUGUUGAAAAAUCUGCCAAUAACCUUAUCGGGGUUCCCUUGUAUGUUACUUGUUUCUUUUCCCUAGCUGCUUUCAAGAUUUCCUCUUUAUCUUUAAUUUUGGUCAGUUUGAUUAAUAUGUGUCUCAGUAUUUUUUCUGUCUCCUUCUCUCUCUCUUUUUCUUCUGGCUGGCACCCCUAUAAUACGGAUGCUGUUGAGUUUCAUGUUGUCCUAGAGUUCUCUGAGACUCUCUUCAUUUGUUUUCAAGCUUUUUUCUCUUUUCAGUUCUGCAUCCGUAAUUUCCACUAAUCUGUCCUCCACCUCGCUUAUUCAUUCUUCUGCCUCCUAUAUUCUGCUGUUAGCUGCUUCUAGUGAGUUUUUU